CAGCAAAUCAGCUGCAAUUGGGGCCAUUAAUUGCUUGACCUUGAACUCCCAAAAGAUAUUCCAGCCUGCAAAAAGCAUGUGUUCUGGUCUGCUCUCAGCAAGGCUAGUAGCGGAGUGGUAAAUGUCCUGUCCCUGUAAGGCUGGGAAAAGACAAUAAGUCAAGUCAGACCUGGGUAUGAUAUUGAUCUACUAGGAGACUGUUUCCUGGGAAUACUGUGCAGCUUAGAAAGGUGAAGGUGUCAGACCAGCACCAUGGUUUGAAGGCUUUCCUUGCCUUCUCCUGUUCCCUCAUCCAAUAACUCUCUUACAUGUCUGGUCCUUUCAUGGCAGUGGACCUGAAUAACACAAUAUGCAAUAGGACAACUUGGAUAGACAAAGU